GACGAACGCUGGCGGCGUGCUUAACACAUGCAAGUCGAGCGGUAAGGCCCUUUCGGGGGUACACGAGCGGCGAACGGGUGAGUAACACGUGGGUGACCUGCCCUCAGCUCUGGGAUAAGCCUGGGAAACCGGGUCUAAUACUGGAUAUGACUCCAUGACGCAUGUUGUGGGGUGGAAAGCCUUGUGCGGCUGAGGAUGGGCCCGCGGCCUAUCAGCUUGUUGGUGGGGUGANGGCCUACCAAGGCGACGACGGGUAGCCGGCCUGAGAGGGCGACCGGCCACACUGGGACUGAGACACGGCCCAGACUCCUACGGGAGGCAGCAGUGGGGAAUCUUGCGCAAUGGGCGAAAGCCCUGACGCAGCGACGCCGCGUGAGGGAUGACGGCCUGGUU
rnacentral:rRNA from 1 species